rnacentral:rRNA from 1 species
ACCCGUUGAUCCUGCGGGAGAUUGCUGCUAUUGGGAUUCGACUAAGACAUGCAAGUUUGUCCGCAAGGACGGCGAAAUGCUCAGUAACACGUCGGUAAUCUGCCCUACGGUUGAGGAUAACCUCGGGAAACUGAGGAUAAUACUCAAUAGGAGACGAUACCUGGAAUGGCUCAUCUCCAAAACUCGAGCCGUAGGAUGAGCCGGCGGCUGAUUAGGCUGUUGGUGGGGUAAUGGCCCACCAAACCUAUGAUCAGUACGGGCCAUGAGAGUGGUAGCCCGGAGAGGGACACUGAGAUACUGGUCCCAGCCCUACGGGGUGCAGCAGUUGCGAAACCUUUACAAUGCACGAAAGUGUGAUAGGGGGAUCCCAAGUGCUCAUGUUUUGCAUGGGCUUUUGCUAAGGGCAAAAUCCUUGGCGAAUAAGUGGUGGGUAAGACUGGUGCCAGCCGCCGCGGUAACACCAGCGCCACGAGUGGCAAUCGCGAUUAUUGGGUCUAAAGCGUCCGUAGCCGGUUCGGUAAAUCUCUUGUAAAAUCGUUAGGCUCAACCUAACGGCUGGCAGGGGACACUACCGGGCUUGAGACCGGAAGGAGUGCAGAGUAUGGUGUGGGGACCGGUAAAAUGGGAUAAUCCACGCUGGACUACCAAUGGCGAAGGCACUGCACCAGGACGGAUCUGACGGUGAGGGACGAAAGCUAGGGGAGCGAACCGGAUUAGAUACCCGAGUAGUCCUAGCUGUAAACGCUGUGAGCAAGGUGUUGCGUAUUCCUCGGGAAUAUGCAGUGUCGAAUCGAAGGAGUUAAGCUCACCACCUGGGAAGUACGGUCGCAAGGCUGAAACUUUAAGGAAUUGGCGGGGAAGCACCACAAGGGGUGCGGCGUGCGGUUUAAUCUAACUCAACACAGAGAACCUUACUAGAAGCGACGGCAGAAUGAAGGUCAGUCUGAAGGGCUUACCCAACAAGCCGAGAGGUGGUGCAUGGCCAUCGUCAGCUCGUGCCGUAAGGUGUCCUCUUAAGUGAGGUAACGAGCGAGACCUGUAUCUACACUUGCUAACAGCCUUGUCAGGGACUGAGCACAUUGUGGAGACUGCCUUGGAAACAAGGAGGAAGGUGCAGGCUACGGUAGGUCUGUAUGCCCCGAAUCUUCUAGGCUACACGCGCGCAACAAUGACAGAGACAAUGGGUCGCGACACCGAAAGGUGAAGCUAAUCCUCCAAACUCUGCCUUAGUUUAGAUUGAGGGUUGUAACUCACCCUCAUGACAUUGGAAUCCCUAGUAAUCAGAUUUCAUCAGAGUCUGGUGAAUAUGUCCCUGCUUCUUGCACACACCGCCCGUCAAACCAACCGAGCAGGUUCUAGGCAAACCUUACCUUCUUUGGGUAUUGUGAGUCUAGGAUCAGUGAGGUGGGUUAAGUCGUCACAAGGUA